rnacentral:rRNA from 1 species
GAUCAUGGCUCAGGAUGAACGCUGGCGGCGUGCCUAACACAUGCAAGUCGAGCGAUUCUCUUCGGAGAAGAGCGGCGGACGGGUGAGUAACGCGUGGGUAACCUGCCCUGUACACACGGAUAACAUACCGAAAGGUAUGCUAAUACGAGAUAAUAUACUUUUAUCGCAUGGUAGAAGUAUCAAAGCUUUUGCGGUACAGGAUGGACCCGCGUCUGAUUAGCUAGUUGGUAAGGUAACGGCUUACCAAGGCGACGAUCAGUAGCCGACCUGAGAGGGUGAUCGGCCACAUUGGAACUGAGACACGGUCCAAACUCCUACGGGAGGCAGCAGUGGGGAAUAUUGCACAAUGGGCGAAAGCCUGAUGCAGCAACGCCGCGUGAGCGAUGAAGGCCUUCGGGUCGUAAAGCUCUGUCCUCAAGGAAGAUAAUGACGGUACUUGAGGAGGAAGCCCCGGCUAACUACGUG